rnacentral:rRNA from 1 species
GAUGAACGCUAGCGGCAGGCCUAAUACAUGCAAGUCGGACGGGAUUCAGGAGCUUGCUUCUGAUGAGAGUGGCGCACGGGUGCGUAACACGUAUGUAACCUACCUUUAUCAGGGGGAUAGCCUCUCGAAAGAGAGAUUAAGCCCGCAUAAAAUCACAGCACAGCAUUGUGUAAUGAUCAAAUAUUUAUAGGAUCAAGAUGGGCAUGCGGAACAUUAGCUAGAUGGCGGGGUAACGGCCCACCAUGGCGACGAUGUUUAGGGGAUCUGAGAGGAUGGCCCCCCACACUGGUACUGAGACACGGACCAGACUCCUACGGGAGGCAGCAGUAAGGAAUAUUGGUCAAUGGGCGGAAGCCUGAACCAGCCAUGCCGCGUGCAGGAAGACGGCCCUACGGGUUGUAAACUGCUUUUAUACGGGAAUAAACCCAGAUACGUGUAUCUGGCUGAAUGUACUGUAAGAAUAAGGAUCGGCUAACUUCGUG